CACGUAGUUAGCCGUGACUUAUUCCUGAGGUACCGUCCUCUCUCGUCCCCCAGAAAAGAGCUUUACAACCCAAGGCCUUCAUCGCUCACGCGGCGUUGCUGCCUCAGACUUGCGUCCAUUGGGCAAUAUUCCU
rnacentral:rRNA from 1 species